UUUUAUGGAGAGUUUGAUCCUGGCUCAGGAUGAACGCUGGCGGCGUGCCUAAUACAUGCAAGUCGAGCGAACGGACGAGAAGCUUGCUUCUCUGAUGUUAGCGGCGGACGGGUGAGUAACACGUGGAUAACCUACCUAUAAGACUGGGAUAACUUCGGGAAACCGGAGCUAAUACCGGAUAAUAUUUUGAACCGCAUGGUUCAAAAGUAAAAGACGGUCUUGCUGUCACUUAUAGAUGGAUCCGCGCUGCAUUAGCUAGUUGGUAAGGUAACGGCUUACCAAGGCAACGAUGCAUAGCCGACCUGAGAGGGUGAUCGGCCACACUGGAACUGAGACACGGUCCAGACUCCUACGGGAGGCAGCAGUAGGGAAUCUUCCGCAAUGGGCGAAAGCCUGACGGAGCAACGCCGCGUGAGUGAUGAAGGUCUUCGGAUCGUAAAACUCUGUUAUUAGGGAAGAACAUAUGUGUAAGUAACUGUGCACAUCUUGACGGUACCUAAUCAGAAAGCCACGGCUAACUACGUGCCAGCAGCCGCGGUAAUACGU
rnacentral:rRNA from 1 species